rnacentral:misc_RNA from 1 species
AACGCACGAGACCUGCGGACCUGCGGAAGGAUCAUUACCGAGUUAUCCAACUCCCAACCCCUGUGAAUUAUACCUUUAAUUGUUGCUUCGGCGGGACUUCGCGCCCGCCGGGGGCCCAAACCUUCUGAAUUUUUUAAUAAGUAUCUUCUGAGUGGUUAAAAAAAUGAAUCAAAACUUUUAACAACGGAUCUCU